UACGGAGGGUGCGAGCGUUGUUCGGAAUUACUGGGCGUAAAGCGCGUGUAGGCGGCCUUCUAAGUCUGGUGUGAAAGCCCGGGGCUCAACCCCGGAAGUGCAUUGGAUACUGGGAGGCUGGAGUACCGGAGAGGAGGGUGGAAUUCCUGGUGUAGCGGUGAAAUGCGUAGAUAUCUGGAGGAAUACCGGUGGCGAAGGCGGCAUCCUGGACCAUUACUGACGCUGAGGCGCGAAAGCUAGGGGAGCAAACAGG
rnacentral:rRNA from 1 species